rnacentral:rRNA from 1 species
AUUGAACGCUGGCGGCAUGCCUUACACAUGCAAGUCGAACGGUAACAGGUCUUCGGAUGCUGACGAGUGGCGAACGGGUGAGUAAUACAUCGGAACGUGCCUAGUAGUGGGGGAUAACUACUCGAAAGAGUGGCUAAUACCGCAUGAGAUCUACGGAUGAAAGCAGGGGAUCGCAAGACCUUGUACUACUAGAGCGGCCGAUGGCAGAUUAUGGUAGUUGGUGGGAUAAAAGCUUACCAAGCCGACGAUCUGUAGCUGGUCUGAGAGGACGAUCAGCCACACGGGGGCUGCAACACGGCCCAGCCUACUACGGGAGGCAGCAGUGGGGAAUUGUGGACAAUGGGGGAAAGCCUGAGCCAGCAAUGCCGCGUGCAGGAUGAAGGCCUUCGGGUUGUAAACUGCUUUUGUACGGAACGAAAAGCCCCGGGUUAAUACCCUGGGGUCAUGUCGGUACCGUAAGAAUAAGCACCGGCUAACUACGUGCCAGCAGCCGCGGUAA